UGGGGAAUAUUGCGCAAUGGGGGAAACCCUGACGCAGCGACGCCGCGUGAAGGAAGAAGGCCUUCGGGUUGUAAACUUCUUUGGCAGGGGACGAAGAAAGACGGUACCCUGAGAACAAGCCACGGCUAACUACGUG
rnacentral:rRNA from 1 species